GGGCCUAGCUCAGUGGCAGAGCUUCGGAUUUACAUGCAGAAGUUCCCUAGGUUCAAUUCCUGGCAUCUCCA